UUCUGCUUGGAAGCACGAUGACUCUGUCCAUGGGGGCAUCGCUGCCCACCCAGGGUUGCUUCCCAAGAGCUGCCAUAUGUAUUCAUGCUUCGAUCAUGAAGCUUUAAACAGAUUUAUGUCGUACUUCAUCAAAAAUUGUAGAGGCUUAGCAGACUGAGACGCUUGGGGACUGAAAGUGGGCAAUUCAGAGUUUCUCAUGCAUGUAAGCUGCCUUUUGUUUUGAUCCCUAUCAUUCUUAGUCCGUCUUUUUCAUUAUCCUGCUGGAAAGACUGUCUUGUGUCCUGAGAGAACUCAAGAGAAAAAUGGCAGGGUCCUGAGUGGCCAGGGCCAUAUGCCACUGGUUACUGGAGGUAGGGUGAGAUGCAACCGACACACUUUUGUCAGAACUUUUGGUUGGGAGCAUUACAUUCAGAUUCAGUCUGAUGGGCCUUUCUUGUUUUUGUUUGGUUAGGUUUAAGCCUAGUACAGGUACACCUGAACUUACAGGAAUGUUUAGAAAAAUCGUAGAUCAAUCCAUUUUUAAUAAAUCAA